GAAAGUAAAUAAGGGCGUAUGGGGAAUGCCUAGGCUCUUGGAGGCGAAGAAAGACGUGGUAAGCUGCGAAAAGCUCCGGGGAUUUGCAAACAAGAUUUGAUCCGGAGAUUUCUGAAUGGGACAACCCGUCAGGUAGAAGACCUGACACAUCGUAAGAUGGGCCAACCCUCUGAACUGAAACAUCUUAGUAGGAGGAGGAAAAGAAAGAAACAUCGAUUUCCUGAGUAGCGGCGAGCGAAAGGGAAAAAGCCUAAACCGGUAUUGUUACGGCAAUGCCGGGGUUGUAGGACUGCAAUAUUCAAGUAACAAUGAACUGGAACGAUCUGGAAAGUUCGUCCAUAGAGGGUGAAAGGCCCGUACAGGUAAGUUCGUUAUGCGAUAGCAGUAUCCUGAGUAGGGCGGGACACGAGGAAUCCUGUCUGAAUCUGCCGGGACCACCCGGUAAGGCUAAAUACUCCCAAGAGACCGAUAGUGAACCAGUACCGUGAGGGAAAGGUGAAAAGAACCCCGAACAGGGGAGUGAAAUAGAACCUGAAACCAUACGCUUACAACCGGUCGGAGCAGUUUCGUGCUGUGACGGCGUGCCUAUUGAAUAAUGAGCCUACGAGUUACUAAUCACUGGCGAGGUUAAGUGCACGGAUGCACGGAGCCGAAGCGAAAGCGAGUCUGAACAGGGCGGCUAGUCAGUGGUUGUAGACGCGAAACCUUGCGAUCUACCCUUGAGCAGGUUGAAGGUUGGGUAAAACCAACUGGAGGACCGAACGAAUAAGCGUUGAAAAGCUUCUCGAUGACUUGAGGGUAGGGGUGAAAGGCUAAUCAAGCUGGGAAAUAGCUCGUACUCCCCGAAAUGCCUUUUGGGGCAGCGUUGUAAUAAAGAGUCUACUGGAGGUAGAGCUACUGAUUGGAUGCGGGGGCUUCACCGCCUACCAAAUCCUGACAAACUCCGAAUGCCAGUAGUAUGAUUUACAGCAGUGAGUGACUGGGUGCUAAUGUCCAGUCGCAAAAGAGGAACAACUCAGACCAGCAACUAAGGUCCCGAAGAAUAUGCUAAGUUGAUCUAACGAUGUUUUGUUGCAGAGACAGCUAGGAUGUUAGCUUGGAAGCAGCUAUUCAUUCAAAGAGUGCGUAACAGCUCACUAGUCGAGCGACAGAGCGUGGAUAAUAAACGGGCAUCAAGCAUAUCACCGAAGUUCUGGGCGCGAGAGCGCGGUAGGGGAGCAUUCCAUUCAGCGUCGAAGCAGUUUCGUGAGGAAUUGUGGAGCGUAUGGAAAAGCAAAUGUAGGCAUGAGUAACGAUAAUGCGGGAGAGUAACCCGCACACCGCAAGACCAAGGUUUCCUGAUCAACGCUAAUCGGAUCAGGGUUAGUCGGGUCCUAAGGGUAAGCCGAACGGCGAUCUCGAUGGAUAAUCGGUUAAUAUUCCGAUACUAACAUAUACCUCGAUGGAGAGACGAAGGAACGUAAGUGCCGCCACCUGACGGAAUAGGUGGUUAAAGGGCGUAGGUAUAGGGGCAGAUUAAGAGUUAGUCCUUGCUGAAACCUGACAGUACAGAGAGCCUACGGGCAAUUUGAUAGAGCACCCAAGUCGACUUCCGAGAAAAUCUUCUAAGUUAUAGUAUAUGUUACCCGUACCGUAAACCGACACAGGUGGUCGAGGAGAGUAUCCUAAGGUGCUCGAGUGAAUCACGGUUAAGGAACUAGGCAAAUUAACCCCGUAACUUCGGGAAAAGGGGUCCCUAUGAAAGUAGGGCGCAGCGAAGAGGUCCAGGCGACUGUUUAUCAAAAACACAGGGCUCUGCAAAUUCGAAAGAAGACGUAUAGGGCCUGACACCUGCCCGGUGCUGGAAGGUUAAGAGGGGAUGUCAUCGCAAGAGAAGCAUUGAAUCGAAGCCCCAGUAAACGGCGGCCGUAACUAUAACGGUCCUAAGGUAGCGAAAUUCCUUGUCGGGUAAGUUCCGAC
rnacentral:rRNA from 1 species